rnacentral:rRNA from 1 species
UACGUAGGGGGCAAGCGUUGUCCGGAUUUAUUGGGCGUAAAGAGCGUGUAGGCGGUUAUACAGGUCCGCUGUGAAAGUCGGGGGCUCAACCCUCGAAUGCCGGUGGAUACUGUCGGGCUAGAGUGCGGAAGAGGCGAGUGGAAUUCCUGGUGUAGCGGUGAAAUGCGCAGAUAUCAGGAGGAACACCGAUUGCGAAGGCAGCUCGCUGGGACGUCACUGACGCUGAGACGCGAAAGCGUGGGGAGCAAACAGG